GACGAACGCUGGCGGCGUGCCUAAUACAUGCAAGUAGAACGCUGAAGGAGGAGCUUGCUCUUCUGGAUGAGUUGCGAACGGGUGAGUAACGCGUAGGUAACCUGCCUGGUAGCGGGGGAUAACUAUUGGAAACGAUAGCUAAUACCGCAUAACAGUAGAUAUUGCAUGAUAUCUGCUUGAAAGGUGCAAUUGCAUCACUACCAGAUGGACCUGCGUUGUAUUAGCUAGUUGGUGAGGUAACGGCUUACCAAGGCGACGAUACAUAGCCGACCUGAGAGGGUGAUCGGCCACACUGGGACUGAGACACGGCCCAGACUCCUACGGGAGGCAGCAGUAGGGAAUCUUCGGCAAUGGACGGAAGUCUGACCGAGCAACGCCGCGUGAGUGAAGAAGGUUUUCGGAUCGUAAAGCUCUGUUGUAAGAGAAGAACGAGUGUGAGAGUGGAAAGUUCACACUGUGACGGUAUCUUACCAGAAAGGGACGGCUAACUACGUGCCAGCAGCCGCGGUAAUACGUAGGUCCCGAGCGUUGUCCGGAUUUAUUGGGCGUAAAGCGAGCGCAGGCGGUUAGAUAAGUCUGAAGUUAAAGGCUGUGGCUUAACCAUAGUACGCUUUGGAAACUGUUUAACUUGAGUGCAAGAGGGGAGAGUGGAAUUCCAUGUGUAGCGGUGAAAUGCGUAGAUAUAUGGAGGAACACCGGUGGCGAAAGCGGCUCUCUGGCUUGUAACUGACGCUGAGGCUCGAAAGCGUGGGGAGCAAACAGG
rnacentral:rRNA from 1 species